rnacentral:rRNA from 1 species
UACGUAGGGUGCAAGCGUUGUCCGGAAUUAUUGGGCGUAAAGAGCUCGUAGGCGGUCUGUCGGGUCGGCUGUGAAAUCCCGAGGCUCAACCUCGGGUCUGCAGUCGAUACGGGCAAACUGGAGUGUUGCAGGGGAGACUGGAAUUCCUGGUGUAGCGGUGAAAUGCGCAGAUAUCAGGAGGAACACCGGUGGCGAAGGCGGGUCUCUGGGCAACAACUGACGCUGAGACGCGAAGGCAUGGGGAGCGAACGGG